UACAUUGGGAAUGAUUUUUCCAUGAGCUUUCCCAGUCUGAAACAAUCAAAUGGAUCAUAAGCCAGUUUAAAAGAGUUUAUUCAAGCAAAAAGCUGACAAUGGCCAUUUGGACAACACAGACUCCAAAGGAAAGAGGAACCACAGAUAUGUAUGUGCUCAUGCUCAUGAAUCACUGCAAAUACGUAUCUAAUAUUCACAAUUGAAGAUUCUGUAGCUCAUGGAAUAUCGGCAUCAAAACCGUGAGGGAGUUUUGGCCAAGGUCCAGUUGCUCAUCACACAAAGAU